rnacentral:tRNA from 1 species
AGUUAAUAAGCCAAAGCAUUAUAUCUUGAAAAUAUAAAAAAAAUCAAAAAGAUUUAUUAACUU